GCCCCCGUAGCUCAGUGGAUAGAGCAAAGGCCUCCGAAGCCUUGAGCGCAGGUUCGACUCCUACCGGGGGCACCA
rnacentral:tRNA from 1 species